rnacentral:rRNA from 1 species
AGAGUUUGAUCAUGGCUCAGGAUGAACGCUAGCGGCAGGCCUAAUACAUGCAAGUCGAACGCCCAGCAAUGGGAGUGGCGCACGGGUGCGUAACGCGUAUGCAACCUACCUUAAACUGGGGGAUAGCCUUCCGAAAGGAAGAUUAAUACCCCAUAGUAUCACGAGAGGGCAUCUGAUUGUGAUUAAAGAUUUAUCGGUUUAAGAUGGGCAUGCGUGACAUUAGCUAGUUGGUAAGGUAACGGCUCACCAAGGCUACGAUGUCUAGGGGUUCUGAGAGGAUGAUCCCCCACACUGGUACUGAGAUACGGACCAGACUCCUACGGGAGGCAGCAGUAGGGAAUAUUGGGCAAUGGACGAGAGUCUGACCCAGCCAUGCCGCGUGCAGGAAGAAGGCCUUCUGGGUUGUAAACUGCUUUUAUCAGGGAAGAAAACGCUCCUGCGGGAGUAACUGACGGUACCUGGUGAAUAAGCACCGGCUAACUCCGUGCCAGCAGCCGCGGUAAUACGGAGGGUGCAAGCGUUGUCCGGAUUUAUUGGGUUUAAAGGGUGCGUAGGCGGCUUAUUAAGUCAGUGGUGAAAGCCAACAGCUCAACUGUUGAACUGCCAUUGAUACUGAUAAGCUUGAGUACAGACGAGGUAGGCGGAAUUGAAGAUGUAGCGGUGAAAUGCAUAGAUAUCUUCAAGAACACCGAUUGCGUAGGCAGCUUACUAGGCUGUAACUGACGCUGAGGCACGAAAGCGUGGGGAGCGAACAGGAUUAGAUACCCUAGUAGUCC